GACGAACGCUGGCGGCGUGCUUAACACAUGCAAGUCGAACGGAAAGGCCCUGCUUUUGUGGGGUGCUCGAGUGGCGAACGGGUGAGUAACACGUGAGUAACCUGCCCUUGACUUUGGGAUAACUUCAGGAAACUGGGGCUAAUACCGGAUAGGAGCUCCUGCUGCAUGGUGGGGGUUGGAAAGUUUCGGCGGUUGGGGAUGGACUCGCGGCUUAUCAGCUUGUUGGUGGGGUAGUGGCUUACCAAGGCUUUGACGGGUAGCCGGCCUGAGAGGGUGACCGGCCACAUUGGGACUGAGGUACGGCCCAGACUCCUACGGGAGGCAGCGGUGGGGAAUAUUGCACAAUGGGCGGAAGCCUGAUGCAGCAACGCCGCGUGCGGAAUGACGGCCUUCGGGUUGUAAACCGCUUUCGCCUGUGACGAGGCGUGAGUGACGGUAAUGGGUAAAGAAGCACCGGCUAACUACGUG
rnacentral:rRNA from 1 species